GGCAACCCUGACGGAGCAACGCCGCGUGGGGGAGGAAGGUCUGUGGAUUGUAAACCCCUUUUCUCUGUGAAGAAGAUCUGACGGUAGCAGAGGAAUCAGCAUCGGCUAACUCCGUGCCAGCAGCCGCGGUAAGACGGAGGAUGCAAGCGUUAUCCGGAAUUAUUGGGCGUAAAGCGUCCGCAGGCGGCUUAGCAAGUCUGCUGUCAAAGACUGGAGCUCAACUCCAGGCCGGCAGUGGAAACUGCCAAGCUAGAGUGCAGUAGGGGUAGAGGGAAUUCCCAGUGUAGCGGUGAAAUGCGUAGAUAUUGGGAAGAACACCAGUGGCGAAGGCGCUCUGCUGGGCCAUAACUGACGCUGAGGGACGAAAGCUAGGGGAGCG
rnacentral:rRNA from 1 species